rnacentral:rRNA from 1 species
GGUUAAGCGACUAAGCGUACACGGUGGAUGCCCUGGCAGUCAGAGGCGAUGAAGGACGUGCUAAUCUGCGAUAAGCGUCGGUAAGGUGAUAUGAACCGUUAUAACCGGCGAUUUCCGAAUGGGGAAACCCAGUGUGAUUCGUCACACUAUCAUUAACUGAAUCCAUAGGUUAAUGAGGCGAACCGGGGGAACUGAAACAUCUAAGUACCCCGAGGAAAAGAAAUCAACCGAGAUUCCCCCAGUAGCGGCGAGCGAACGGGGAGGAGCCCAGAGCCUGAAUCAGUGUGUGUGUUAGUGGAAGCGUCUGGAAAGGCGCGCGAUACAGGGUGACAGCCCCGUACACAAAAAUGCACAUAUUGUGAGCUCGAUGAGUAGGGCGGGACACGUGGUAUCCUGUCUGAAUAUGGGGGGACCAUCCUCCAAGGCUAAAUACUCCUGACUGACCGAUAGUGAACCAGUACCGUGAGGGAAAGGCGAAAAGAACCCCGGCGAGGGGAGUGAAAAAGAACCUGAAACCGUGUACGUACAAGCAGUGGGAGCACGCUUAGGCGUGUGACUGCGUACCUUUUGUAUAAUGGGUCAGCGACUUAUAUUCUGUAGCAAGGUUAACCGAAUAGGGGAGCCGAAGGGAAACCGAGUCUUAACUGGGCGUUAAGUUGCAGGGUAUAGACCCGAAAACCGGUGAUCUAGACAUGGGCAGGUUGAAGGUUGGGUAACACUAACUGGAGGACCGAACCGACUAAUGUUGAAAAAUUAGCGGAUGACUUGUGGCUGGGGGUGAAAGGCCAAUCAAACCGGGAGAUAGCUGGUUCUCCCCGAAAGCUAUUUAGGUAGCGCCUCGUGAAUUCAUCUCCGGGGGUAGAGCACUGUUUCGGCAAGGGGGUCAUCCCGACUUACCAACCCGAUGCAAACUGCGAAUACCGGAGAAUGUUAUCACGGGAGACACACGGCGGGUGCUAACGUCCGUCGUGAAGAGGGAAACAACCCAGACCGCCAGCUAAGGUCCCAAAGUCAUGGUUAAGUGGGAAACGAUGUGGGAAGGCCCAGACAGCCAGGAUGUUGGCUUAGAAGCAGCCAUCAUUUAAAGAAAGCGUAAUAGCUCACUGGUCGAGUCGGCCUGCGCGGAAGAUGUAACGGGGCUAAACCAUGCACCGAAGCUGCGGCAGCGACGCUUAUGCGUUGUUGGGUAGGGGAGCGUUCUGUAAGCCUGCGAAGGUGUGCUGUGAGGCAUGCUGGAGGUAUCAGAAGUGCGAAUGCUGACAUAAGUAACGAUAAAGCGGGUGAAAAGCCCGCUCGCCGGAAGACCAAGGGUUCCUGUCCAACGUUAAUCGGGGCAGGGUGAGUCGACCCCUAAGGCGAGGCCGAAAGGCGUAGUCGAUGGGAAACAGGUUAAUAUUCCUGUACUUGGUGUUACUGCGAAGGGGGGACGGAGAAGGCUAUGUUGGCCGGGCGACGGUUGUCCCGGUUUAAGCGUGUAGGCUGGUUUUCCAGGCAAAUCCGGAAAAUCAAGGCUGAGGCGUGAUGACGAGGCACUACGGUGCUGAAGCAACAAAUGCCCUGCUUCCAGGAAAAGCCUCUAAGCAUCAGGUAACAUCAAAUCGUACCCCAAACCGACACAGGUGGUCAGGUAGAGAAUACCAAGGCGCUUGAGAGAACUCGGGUGAAGGAACUAGGCAAAAUGGUGCCGUAACUUCGGGAGAAGGCACGCUGAUAUGUAGGUGAAGUCCCUCGCGGAUGGAGCUGAAAUCAGUCGAAGAUACCAGCUGGCUGCAACUGUUUAUUAAAAACACAGCACUGUGCAAACACGAAAGUGGACGUAUACGGUGUGACGCCUGCCCGGUGCCGGAAGGUUAAUUGAUGGGGUUAGCCGCAAGGCGAAGCUCUUGAUCGAAGCCCCGGUAAACGGCGGCCGUAACUAUAACGGUCCUAAGGUAGCGAAAUUCCUUGUCGGGUAAGUUCCGACCUGCACGAAUGGCGUAAUGAUGGCCAGGCUGUCUCCACCCGAGACUCAGUGAAAUUGAACUCGCUGUGAAGAUGCAGUGUACCCGCGGCAAGACGGAAAGACCCCGUGAACCUUUACUAUAGCUUGACACUGAACAUUGAGCCUUGAUGUGUAGGAUAGGUGGGAGGCUUUGAAGUGUGGACGCCAGUCUGCAUGGAGCCGACCUUGAAAUACCACCCUUUAAUGUUUGAUGUUCUAACGUUGACCCGUAAUCCGGGUUGCGGACAGUGUCUGGUGGGUAGUUUGACUGGGGCGGUCUCCUCCUAAAGAGUAACGGAGGAGCACGAAGGUUGGCUAAUCCUGGUCGGACAUCAGGAGGUUAGUGCAAUGGCAUAAGCCAGCUUGACUGCGAGCGUGACGGCGCGAGCAGGUGCGAAAGCAGGUCAUAGUGAUCCGGUGGUUCUGAAUGGAAGGGCCAUCGCUCAACGGAUAAAAGGUACUCCGGGGAUAACAGGCUGAUACCGCCCAAGAGUUCAUAUCGACGGCGGUGUUUGGCACCUCGAUGUCGGCUCAUCACAUCCUGGGGCUGAAGUAGGUCCCAAGGGUAUGGCUGUUCGCCAUUUAAAGUGGUACGCGAGCUGGGUUUAGAACGUCGUGAGACAGUUCGGUCCCUAUCUGCCGUGGGCGCUGGAGAACUGAGGGGGGCUGCUCCUAGUACGAGAGGACCGGAGUGGACGCAUCACUGGUGUUCGGGUUGUCAUGCCAAUGGCACUGCCCGGUAGCUAAAUGCGGAAGAGAUAAGUGCUGAAAGCAUCUAAGCACGAAACUUGCCCCGAGAUGAGUUCUCCCUGAGACUUAGAGUCUCCUGAAGGAACGUUGAAGACGACGACGUUGAUAGGCCGGGUGUGUAAGCGCAGCGAUGCGUUGAGCUAACCGGUACUAAUGAACCGUGAGGCUUAACCUU